CUUUCAGCCCCGGAGCCCGUCUGCUGUGUAUUCGGCCGGUCACAUCUCUCUCCCCCAACGCCCUGAUCCGCCCUCCACCUUCCUCUCCUCCAGGUUCUGGGCCGGAGAAGGGGCGACGUUCGGGCACCCCCCGAAUGGACAAUCUUUCCUUCUGUCAACGGCAGGGGCAGGCCUAGUUUGACUCUGACAGUCCUCCCACUAAGGUAGGUGUGAGUACUUGCCCAGACCGUGAGGGAGAUUUGGGGGGCUCUGGCCUGCAGCCCAGGGAGGGCCGAACCCCAAACACGCCGGGCUGGUUCUGCGGCCCCGCCCCACCCCACCCCCCCCCCCCCAGCUGCGAGCGCGUAGGGCCGCCUGCUGGGCCGCCGGGGCCAUCCAUCCCCGUCUGUCAGCUUCUGUUGUCAGGCAUUUGGGGCGUGUAAGUCUCUGCCGAAUAUAGCAGCAUACGAGAGGAUCCACUUGCAAGUAUUUCCCAGUUGUGUGUUCUUCGGCGGGGGGAGGGCCCUGGGUGCCGCCUACUUCUGAAAGACACAGGUCACUGUCAGAAAGCCCAACUGUGCUGUGGCCUUCCCUCCAGCCGCCCCCGUGGGGCAUGUGGGGUGACAGUGUGAGCCGUCCUCUGAUGUCUGGCUGCUAGAGAGGCAAAGAACAGAGACCCGAGGUUCCGGCCACCUUUCUCUAUGAAAGGGCCUUCCUUGACGCUUCUCCACCUUCCUGGGAUUGUUUUCUUCUCCAGUCCCCGAAUGGGCAGGCCUGUAUAUAAGCCUUGUUUCUAGAACCAGACAAAGCUGGAUUUGAAACCUGGCGAGCCAUUGAACAGCUAUGGCCUUGCGUAAGCGGUAUAGCCUCCAAGCCUAUUUCUCCAUCUCCGAAAACAGGGCUAGAUCAGUGGUUCUUAGUCUGGAACCGGCAUCAGAAUCACACCGGAAGGGGGGCUCACUGAAAAUGGACCACCGGGCCUGGUGCCCAAGUGUCUGAUUCAGUGGGUUGGUCCUUAGGACUGGCAUUUCUAACAAGUUCCCAGGUGAGGUGAGGCUGAUGCUGUGGUCUGGGAACACAUUUUGAGACUCCAGCCCCUAGCCUGGUAACACCUGGGGUUUUGACGCAGAAGUGCCACGUUCCACGCUUGGCACAUAGUAAUUGAUUUCAUUCUAACGCUAGCCGACUUCAUGUAUUGAAUAGUUUCCCAUCUCAGUGUCUAAGAAGCUCCACAGCUGGAGAUGGCGGCCCUUGGUCUCGGAGCCCCCCUCCUUGUGAUUUCUGCUUUGUGAUUGCUUUGAUGAACCAUUUGGGUCCAGGUGCUCCUGAUCACACCACCUCCCCUAUUUGGGACUUGUGCCCCACUCCCGCUGUGAGGGCUACACCGAGCUCUGGGGGCCUGUUCGGAUUAACAAGGAGAUCUUGCUAAAGGAAUUCCUGGUGACUGGAAGGGGGAGUGACUCAGGCCCUCAACCUCUAGCAGGUAAGGGAGCUACCUCCUGGGUGGGCAUGCCCAGUUCCUCAGUGGGCCCAGCGCGGCCCAGCCUCCGAGGAAGCUCUGAGCAGCUGGCUUGGCUCCGAGGUAUUUUUAGCUACAGAUCCAGCCCCCCUCCAUCACCACAACAGUCGAGUCCAAAUCAAACGCGCUCCAGGCAGGUGGGGCUGGGGUUCUGCCAGCCUCCUGGCCAGCAGGGGUGGGUGGGCAGACUGGGGCCAGUAUCAGCUGUUCUGCCUGGACCCAGGCCGGGCUGGGAAGGCACACUUGUGCUUAUUUCCCGCCUCCACUUCUGUGCAAGCUUGUGCUGUCAUAAGCAGAGAUCACAGCCCCAUUUCUUGGAUGGAGAAAGUGGACACUGAGGUCUGAGGCUUUUGAGGACAGUCAGGAGCCCUCCUAUGGGCUCCAGUGAUGCACUCACCAGCUUCUGGUCCUCUUCUUCCACCUCUUAGAGUGCCUUGGCUCCCUCCUGUCGUCCUGGGGAACCUCGGCCCCAGCCCUGCCUCCCCAGCCAGUCACAGCUCCUCCCUGGUCACCCUGAGGGAGCUCAGGGCCCGGCUGGUAGCUGGGUUGCUCUGCUUCUGUCCCCCACUCCUGUGGAGCCUGGCAGGCAACUCCAUGAUCUGACCCCGGUUACCUUGACAGCCCUGCCUGGCCUCCCCUCUCAUGGCCCAGCCACCCCAGAACCUGAAGAGGUUUUCUAGCUGCCGUGCAUUUGCCAGGCUGGGUUACCCACCCUACUUUCCCUGCCUGCCCUCCAGUGCUGCCAGGCCUAGUGUGCCAGCCAGCGCUCAGCCUUCAGUAAAGGGUUCCCCUGCUUCCAACCUCCAUUGCACUGCUUCCCCUAAGACUGUGACCUCCUGGAAGGCUGGAGCACAACUGCCUCUCAAUAAACGUGUUGC
rnacentral:lncRNA from 1 species